rnacentral:misc_RNA from 1 species
UUGAGGAGUUGGAUCCGGCGGCGAGGAGAGACAUCCGGCUGGGUGGACCACUGCGUGAAGGACCAGACGCUCGUCGUGGUUGCCGAGAAGAAGCAAAAGGAGGAGCUCAAAGAGGUGCUGGGCGACGGCAGGGUGGUGGUGACAGACGACAAGAAGAAGAGGGUGCAGCGCGCCAAGAAGAAGCCAGCGACGUUCCACGGUGAAGCUGUGAGCUCUCCAUCAACGGUGGUUUGUCUACAAGUUGAAGCUGAAAGGGUUGCGCAAAUCAGCUGCGAGGGAUACCACAGUAUGCAGAAGGAAGCCGCGUAG